rnacentral:snRNA from 1 species
GUGUAGCGUUUUACUGUUUCU